rnacentral:lncRNA from 1 species
CACGGACGAGGUCCUCGAAAAUCUUGGCCAUGGCAACAUCGCUGCGGAUGUGCUCCUGAAGCUUGGCGGUGCCGUAAGUGCGCAUGACCAUCCAAAGCUUGAGCCCACGGAAGCGCCGUCCCACACCGACCUGCAUGUCCUUGAGGUCAGUGACCUCGCCGGAGUCAGUGACAUCAUUCUUGAGGUACUCGGGGUUCGUCUCCAGUGAGUCGCUCAGGCGGUGAGCGUCACGCACGUAGAGGCACGUGCAGUCCAAGCAGGUGAGAAGCCACUUGUGUGGGCUCAUGCUGAUGGAGUCCACACGCUCCACACCAUCAAGAUGGUGCCUGAACUCUGGGCAGAUGCAAGCGCUGCCGGCAUAGGCGGCAUCAACGUGUACCCAUGCGUUGAACAUGGCGGCAACAUCGGCAACGGCGCCCACGGGGUCGACGGCGUUGGAGGAGGUGGUGCCGACGGUUGCACAAACAUAUGUUGGCACGAGGCCGGCAGCGACAUCGGCCUGCAUGACCUCGAGAAGCUUCGCCGGGUCGAGACCAUAGUUGGUCUCAGGCCCAGUGGGGAUGGAGCGGAUGUGGGCAGGGUCAAAGCCGGCUAGCCGGCACGCCUUGAAGAAUGUGGAGUGGGUCUGAUCGGCGGCGUAGACCGCCAAUUUAGGCAGGCCCGAGACGCCGACGGAGCCACUCCGGCGUAGAGCGGCAUCACGGGCGGCGACUAGCGUGACAAGCAUGGCUUCACUCGUCGUGCCGAGGAUGACGCCACCGCCGGUACCACGCCCCGAGCUUGUACGGUUCAUGAACGUGGUCGGCAGGUGAAGGAGCUGUGCGAGCCAGUCAAGCGCGAGCACCUCCAUCUCCGUGGCGGCCGGAGCCGCCUGCCACGUGAACCCAACAGUGUUCAUGGCGGAGGCGAUGAGGUCACCGGCGAUGGCGGCGGCGCUGUUUGUCGACGGAAAAAACGCAAAGAAGUUGGGGCUGGCCCAAUGCGUCAUUCCGGGGACAACAGAGGUCCGGAGCUCCUUCAUGGUGACGUCGAAGGGAGCCGAGUAAGUUGGCGGAGAGGCGCUGAGCUCGUCCUGAAGGUACCCCGGCUUGACGUUGGGGAGCACCGGCAUGGACUCGACAUUGGUGUAGUAGUCGGAGACGAAAUCCACGGCCUUGUGGAGAUAAGCACGGACAUCUUCCGGGUUGAGUGGCUGGAACGACUUGUCGUCGUCGGGGAAUGCGGAGAAGGCCGUGGGGUUAGUGUCGAUGCUGCCCAUGUCGAGAUAGAAGACAAUCUGGAAGCUAGCUUAAUUGGCAGAUCGGCCGGAGAGGAGGAAGACGAAGAGAGCUCGUUAAUUAGCUUGUUCGGCAGAGGAGAUGGAUUAGUGAUCGAAUUAAUUGGCAAUUGCUUUGGUUUGGUGAGGAGUUGGUGGUUUGUUGCAGGCGUAUAUAUAGGUUUCCAAAAUCGCAGAUGGAAGCGGCGUGGCGAAGUGGGCGUUGGCCGUCGCGGCCGCGGACUGAAUCCUAAGAAUAGUGAGUUCUUGCGAGGAAAGUCGGUUCAAACUCCAGCUUGGUACACACGGAGGUACACGGUCAACUCGUCCGUCCCGAUGCUUCCGGCUGCGCUUCCUUAACAUGGAAAAAACGAAGGAAAAAAAAACACAGGAAGUUCAGACAGCGUCGUUUUUCCUAUUUUUACUACAUCGACAGUGACUGUCCAUAUGUGUUUAAUUAGUUCUCCAACGCCUCUCCAUCGCCAUUUGUUGCACGUGCGUUUGUUUGACCGAGUCUAAUGUAUGUUAGUCCUGGAUAAAACUGAACUUGGAUUCAACUCAUCCUUUUACAAAGAGGAGGAACGACUCUCCAAUUAAUUAGGUAGGUACUACCGUACUACAGGAUAUUCGCUGCCAAGAAAGAAAGUAGAACUAGCAUUAAAUAGCUAGGUGCACGAGUCAAAACGGAGCCGUACUGUGUUCCCAACUUCCCAUAAUGCUGAAUCAAACUAUCUCCCUAGAAUUUCACUGCACACUGAACGAACACAUGACGUAAGCACGUUCUGAGCAAACAUUAAGCAGUCUUUGGGUCUACUGUAUGUGAACACGGUCCCAUGCUACCACAUGCUGGCAUGCAUAUACAUGUUUGACCACGCCCGCAUGGCUGGUCAAAAGUCCCAACAGUCUUCUACUGUAUGUGUCUGCGCGUAUGCAUAAUUGCACAUACACAUCUUUAUUCAAAUACUUACUCCGUCAAACAAAAUAUGUCUCAACUUUAACUAAAUUUGAAUACAUCUAUACAUUAAGUCAUGUCUGCUAGAUACAUCUAAAUUUUGACAAACUUGAGACAUCUUUUGUUGGACGGACGGAGUAUAUAAUUAUAUUGAAAUUAGAUACACUUACACAUCAAGCUACUUCCAUGCAUACGAGUAUAUACUAUCGAUAUUGUGUUUUUGGAGAUAUCUAAUUAAAAAUGUUUAACACGUGGUACUCCCUCCGACCCAUAUUACUUGUCUCAAAUUUGUUCAAAUAUGGAUGUAUCUAUGUUUAAAAAACGUCUAGAUACAUAUGCAAUAUUUCAACAAAUAAUUCCGGCGGGAGGGAGUACAUUAGUAAAGGCUAGCUCAAGCCACUAUAUAUAUAAAUUAACCAGAAUUAACUGUCCUAGCAUGCAUGCUCGUUAAUUUGCCGCGUCACAGCAGAUCUAGCCUGUAGUACAAAAAACACCACGCUGUGCCCCAUCAACGUCACCACGAGUUCGAUUUAUUUACCACGGCCGGUCUCGAUCUCACACGUACGCAAUUGGCUUGAUAUAUUAUUUCUUCGAAACCUUGCGAAGAAAAAUCUUAAUAAAUAUUUGUGGUCGGCUAGCUCUGGCUCUUGCAAACCACAGAAAUGGCGCGUCUGCGUGUUUAAAUAAUUUUUAUUAAACAAAUUGUCGUAAACUAAAUAUGUAAAACGUGCUGCCCUUUGAUGCCGUAGCUGGCGUGGAAAACGCUGUGAUUUGUGUAUCUUUUUCUAUGCAAGACUAGAAACGCCUGUAGUCUUAACGGCUACUUGAGCAUGUGUUUUUUUUACCUCCGAGUUAAUUUGAUUACUGAGGGAAGCAUAUGUGCCGGGGAAAAUAUAACUGCCAGCACUUUACUGGCAGGUCUAAGUGCCGUCUACAAUGGGUCAUGGUGUUGUGUGUUUCUAUUUCUGCCAAGGCAUCCCUGUCGGCUGUUUCUGACGGUUAUAUUGUUCUAUUCCUGUCUGUUUUUAGUUCACAGAGGUAAUUCAUGAAUGUGGUAGUGCACAUAGUUUCAAAAAUGAUUAAAUCCACAUCUUGUGUUCAUGUAAAUAGAAUAGUCCUUUUAUUGUCAAAUAAAUAUCACAGGCAUAACAAGCCCUCUGUAAUGGUCACAAAAUGAUAGGGGCUCACGCGCCAAACUGAAAAAAUCAAAUUAAGAAAAUGUGUACCCUAAAUGCAGGGUGUAUAUUUGUGUCUUUUUGGAAUAUUUGUUUCUAUCCUCUAAAGACCCCUCAACUUAAUCCAUCAUCUCGCUGGUUGUCUUCUUGAUGAGCUCCCAUGCACUCCUCACGUGCCUCUCCUCCUGCAGUGAUGACCCCACGGCGAACCGGAGCACGAACCUGUCGCCGACCACCGUGUGCGCAAGGUAAGCCUUGCCGGUCUUGUUCAGGUUCUCCAUGAGAACGCGGUUGGCCUCAUCGGCGUCGUCCUCUGUCAUGACUCCACUUGCCUUGAUCCUGAAGCACACCAGAGCAAAGUUCCUUGGGACGACGAUCUCGAACCGGUCAUCGGCGCGGACGAGGUCCUCAAACAUCUUUGCCAUGGCGACGUCGCUGCGGAUGUGCUCCUGGAGCUUGGCAGUGCCAUAGGUGCGCAUCACCAUCCAGAGCUUGAGACCACGGAAACGUCGUCCCACACCGACCUGCAUGUCCUUGAGGUCAGUGACCUCCCCAGAGUCCGUGACAUCAUUCUUGAGGUACUCGGGGUUCGUCUCCAGCGCGUCACUCAGUCGGUGAGCAUCACGGACAUAGAGGCAUGUGCAGUCUAGACACGUCAUCAGCCACUUGUGUGGGCUCAUGCUGAUGGAGUCCACACGCUCGACACCAUCAAGAUGGUGUCGGAACUCCGGGCAGAUGCAUGCGCUGCCGGCGUACGCAGCAUCGACAUGGACCCAUGCGUUGAACAUGGCGGCAACAUCGGCAACGGCACCCACGGGGUCGACGGCGUUGGAGGAGGUGGUGCCGACGGUGGCACAAACAUAUGUUGGCACGAGACCAGCAUCGACAUCGGCCUGCAUGAUCUCAAGAAGCCUCACCGGGUCAAGGCCGUAGUCGGUCUCCGGCCCGGUGGGGAUGGAGCGGAUGUUGGCAGGGUCGAAGCCGGCGAGACGGCACGCCUUGAAGAACGUGGAGUGGGUUUGGUCGGCAGCAUAGACCGCCAAUUUAGGCAGGCCGGACACGCCAACAGAGCCACUCCGGCGUAGGGCGGCGUCUCGGGCAGCGACAAGCGUGACGAGCAUGGCCUCGCUGGUCGUCCCAAGAAUAACACCACCACCGGUGCCACGGCCGGAGCUUGUGCGGUUCAUGAAGGUCGUCGGCAGGCGGAGGAGCUGCGCGAGCCAGUCAAGCGCGAGCACCUCCAUCUCCGUCGCGGCCGGAGCCGCCUGCCACGUGAACCCAACGGUGUUCAUGGCAGAGGCGAUGAGGUCACCGGCGAUGGCGGCGGCGCUGUUUGUCGACGGAAAGAAGGCGAAGAAAUUGGGGCUGGCCCAGUGGGUCAUGCCGGGCACAACGGAGUUGCGGAUCUCCUUCAUGGUGACAUCAAAAGGGGCCGAGUAGGUCGGCGGAGAGGCGCUGAGCUGGUCCUGGAGGUACCCCGGCUUGACGUUGGGGAGGACAGGCAUGGACUCGACGUUGGUGUAGUAAUCGGAGAUGAAGUCCACGGCCUUGUGGAGAUAGGCCCGGACAUCAUCGGUGUUGAGCGGCUGGAACGACUUGUCGUCGUCGGGGAAGGCGGAGAAGGCGGUGGGGUUGGUGUCGAUGCUGCCCAUGUCGAUCUCUUUUGCAGGUUUUAAGCACUUAGGAGCAAGAAAGCAAGAAGAGAAGCUCGGAGAGAGCUUAAUUGGCUACUAGCUUAAUGAGCUGGAGGAUGGCUCUCUAGCUAGCUUGGUCGCUCUGGCUCUAGCUAGAUUUGCUUGGUUAAUUUGGUGAGGAUUUGAGAUAGCUCGAGCAGGUUUAUAUAGGAGUGCCGGCUUGGUCGCAUGCAAGAGCUAGUAGCGGUGGAAUGGCGUGGGGUUGUGGGCGUUAAUUGGGCGAUCGAGUCGCGAAGACUGCGUGCGUGUGUUGCUACUACUUGCUAGGAAGGUCGGUUUAAUUUUGUUGGUAGGUAAGAGGUAGCGGCGGCCCGGUCCAAGCGGAGAAUGGACACACGGCCGGGUUAAUUUCCGGUCCAGCCAGGUGCCGCUUUCAUGGAUAUGUACUGAUAUGAUGUAUGUAUGUACAUACGCAAUGGACCCGUUAAGAAGGGCGUGGAUUGCGAUAGCUAUCAUGUAUAUAUACGUUGCAGCGUAGCAGCCUAUGUGGAUAUUCGUUGUAUCAAGGAAUAAUACUAGUACAACAAACAGCUAUAGGUACACGAGUCAAACCGGAGCCGCAGUUACAGAGCAACGAAGAAGGCUCUGGGUUUCCUUUCCGUUGAAUUUUGUGUGAAAAAGUUCUACCUAGCUACCUAGAGCAAUAUUGCAUUUGCAUCUACUAAUCUACAUACACUGCAGCCAUGCUAGAGCUGAGGGGUGAGGUGCUAUACCAAGAGUGCAUAUUUCUUUUUCAUUUCUUAUUUCCACUUAAUUUUAAGGUUCUACCACGUACGUCCUGGUGCAUACAUUGCCUAGUCAAAAGUCGGCACGAUUAAUCUAUCCGGCCGGGUCUAACGAACAUCUACGUAUACUGAUUACUGAAUGAACGAGUUGAGAAUGAGGCAUACCACGCGUGAACAUUCGGUCAUUCACCUUUUUUUAUAAAACUUUUACCACGUCCUCCAGCUGCCGCUGCCGGCCCGUCGGGUCAAAAGUCUUGAACAAUCUUCUGAUGACAUUGCACUCCUUGCAUACUUGUUUAAUUAAUUAGUCUCUUUCUCACAGAAAGGUUAAUUAAUUAAGUACUUAAUUACCAUAUUUGGUUGCCCCUGUUUCGUCCGUUGGAUGGAUGCAUGACGCACGCAUGCAUCUUGCUGACACAUGCAGCAGAUCGGGUGCACACCGUGUUGCCGCGUAGUGCCAAAUCUAGCUAUUCCCUCCGUUCCCAAUAAAUUGUCACCUGCCAUUUUGCAAAAAGAAAAAUCUUAUUAAUUUAUGAAAUCAAUCUGCAGUGUACACCAUCAGUUGAAUAUGGAUUGCACGUUGAUUUCGGAAAACUACAGGGUUUUUUUGUGCAAAAGUUCUGAUAGAACGUAGAAUGCAGGUUGAUUUCGCGAAAUAGCAAGGAUUUUUUUGCGAAAUUUCCGGCGCCAAUUAAUUAGAAACAGAGGGAGUAGCUGCUUAAUUAUUCGGAUUAGCUCAGCACUUUCGUCACUGUAGUAGGAAACGAGAAUCAAGAAAAGGAGAUCUUUUUCUUGCAUAUCUAGCUAAAGUAAACGACCUAUGUUUGCAUCCGUUGGUGGAAUGCCUGCCUACCUAACCAUCUGGUAACCGGUCAUGGUCAAGUGAGGAAGCCGGCCGGCCGUCGAAACGAAAAACAUUUUCAUUGAUACGUACGGCUCCGGUUCAGCGCGUGCACCUACUAAUUAAAAUCGUUUUGCUAGAAACACCCAAUUAUUUAAUUAAUUAGUUCAAGUUUAGCACAUGUCAUCAGCGCGCACACGUUUAAUUAGAUUUCCAAUACGCGCAGGGUGGUCUGACUGAUUAAUUUGCUUAGUUAUUUAAUUAGUUCUGACUUCCUACAGGAUUGAAUUUAACCCGCUUUUGUUAGUACGGCCGUGCCGUCUCUGCUUCUUGGGUAAGAACCGGUCUAGGAGAAAUGAUGUCCAACGUGACGGGUAGCCAUCGGGAAACAAAAGCGGGCACCAUUUUGGGGCAGGCAACAGCCAGACUGUACUAAUGUGAAAAAAUUUACCUUUAACGGGGCCGUUAACUUGUUAGGAUAUACACACCAAUUCCGAUUCGGUAAAAACAAUAAUAUUAAGUUGCCUUGGCGAUCAAGGGAGCAUGAAUUGGACGAGAUGACACGGUCAUCGAUCUAAACUCGUUCUUCCGUCCUAGUGAAACUAUUAAUAUUCAUAAAAAGGGAGAUAAAAGUCAUAUCGACAGAGUAAAAAUUAAAAAUUAGAGCAUGCGUAUGAGAUUAGGGACCCCGGACAAAUCUAAACACCCCAGCAAGCUUGGUCAACAACUAAAAAAUAGCGAGCUUGUUCAACAUUAAAAACAUACACUUUUUCCUAUAUGCUGGCUAGCGAAAUACUUCACGGAGUUAACUGUGUCCAUGGCCACGACUCUGACGACUUGACUGGAAUUGAAGUCUGGAAGGAACCAUUACCAACAACGUGCAUGCAGCUAGCCGGCCGUGUGUGCGUGCGUGCGUAUAAAGAGAGAAAAAGGCUUAGAGUCAGAGAGAACAAAAUUCCUCACCAACCAAAGUACACCAAGUGCAACUAGUACGUUAAUUCUUAGUCCCGUCUCGAUCGUUGAUCAAAUUAAUAUAAAUAUAUGUGCACAUGCCAUAUUCGUCUUGAACUGUUUCGGGGAAAGGAAUAAACGCAUGCUCUGACUUGGUGUCGGAAACGACGGGAUCGAGAUCACACGACCUGGCGGAUGUCGAUUUAUUCAAAUUCCUAAUUGUAGUUUUAUGAGUUUUCGGCUGAUUAUAAAAACUUAACAAGUGUUUUAGAAAGCACAUGUGUAGAGCUCAAAACCAACCGUUAGUUAAAUGGUCAGUGGGAUGAUUAAUUGUGUCCUGAUUAUAAGAACUUAACAAGUCAACGUAGUCCAAGGAAUAUAUUUUUUCCAAGGAAGUUAAUUACAGCUAGCACGGAUUAAAUUGCGAGAAAGAUCGAAUCGUUGUACGUUCCAUGCAUACUGUCUUAAUUAUACGUAAAACUCACUGUUAAUCAAGAACUGUUAUACCACUAUUAAUCAAGAAAAGAAAUCUGAGUGUGUUGAAUAAUGUUUGAAAAUAAUCGUUGGAUCGACGGUGAUCAAUAGCAAAACAGCAUUUCCCCAUCUACAGUUUUUUCCAUGUUAAGCAGCCGGCCGAACGCAUCGGCGGCUGAUGAACGGCUGAUACGGGUAUCGGGUGCAUCGUCCAGACCCGAAUUUGACGAACGAGCUGACCAUUGACCAAUUAAGCUGGAGCCUAGUAGCAAAACGACCUUCCUCGCAAAGUUACUACAGAGAUUCCGUCCGCGCGCCCAAAGGCCGGGGACUCAUCCAACGCCCAAUUCGCCACGCCGCUUCCCGGCCUAUAAAUAGCCCUCCACGAACUACAAACUCCUCACCAAACCACCAAAGCUAGCAAUUGCCAAUUCACUAGCUCCAGCUCUCUCCUCUGCCUUGCCUUAGCUAGCUAGCUCAUCAACUAGCUUCGUCUUCCUCAUCCUCUCCGGCCAACGCUAAGACAAGCUUCCUGCUAGCUCCUACGUGCUAGCUAGCUAAACCUGCAAAGGAGACAUGGGCAGCAUCGACACCAACCCCACGGCCUUCUCCGCCUUCCCCGACGACGACAAGCCGUUCCAGCCGCUCAACACCGACGAUGUCCGGGCUUAUCUCCACAAGGCCGUGGACUUCAUCUCUGAUUACUACACCAACGUCGAGUCCAUGCCUGUCCUCCCCAACGUCAAGCCGGGGUACCUCCAGGACCAGCUCAGCGCAUCUCCGCCGACAUACUCGGCUCCCUUUGAUGUCACCAUGAAGGAGAUCCGCAACUCCGUUGUCCCCGGCAUGACCCACUGGGCCAGCCCCAACUUCUUCGCCUUCUUUCCGUCGACGAACAGCGCCGCCGCCAUCGCCGGUGACCUCAUCGCCUCUGCGAUGAACACUGUGGGAUUCACGUGGCAGGCCGCCCCUGCCGCUACCGAGAUGGAGGUUCUCGCGCUCGACUGGCUCGCGCAGCUCCUCCGCCUGCCGACGACCUUCAUGAACCGCACGAGCUCCGGUCGUGGAACCGGUGGUGGCGUCAUUCUUGGCACCACCAGCGAGGCCAUGCUCGUCACGCUUGUCGCUGCCCGUGAUGCCGCUCUACGCCGGAGCGGUUCGAUUGGUGUGUCUGGCCUGCCUAAAUUGGCGGUCUACGCCGCCGACCAGACCCACUCCACUUUCUUCAAGGCGUGCCGUCUCGCCGGUUUCGACCCCGCCAACAUCCGCUCCAUCCGCACCGGGCCAGAGACCGACUAUGGCCUCGACCCGGUGAGGCUUCUUGAGGUCAUGCAGGCCGAUGUCGAUGCUGGUCUCGUGCCAACAUAUGUUUGUGCCACCGUCGGCACCACCUCCUCCAACGCCGUCGACCCCGUGGGCGCCGUUGCCGAUGUUGCCGCCAUGUUCAACGCGUGGGUCCAUGUUGAUGCUGCCUACGCUGGCAGCGCGUGCAUCUGCCCGGAGUUCAGGCAUCAUCUCGAUGGCGUGGAGCGUGUGGACUCGAUCAGCAUGAGCCCACACAAGUGGCUGAUGACUUGUCUAGACUGCACAUGCCUCUAUGUCCGUGAUGCUCACCGACUGAGUGACGCGCUGGAGACGAACCCCGAGUACCUCAAGAAUGAUGUCACGGACUCUGGGGAGGUCACGGACCUCAAGGACAUGCAGGUCGGUGUGGGACGACGCUUCCGUGGUCUCAAGCUCUGGAUGGUGAUGCGCACCUAUGGCACCGCGAAGCUCCAGGAACACAUCCGCAGCGACGUCGCCAUGGCCAAGAUGUUCGAGGACCUCGUCCGUGAUGACGACCGGUUCGAGAUCGUCGUGCCGAGGAACUUUGCUCUCGUGUGCUUCAGGAUCAAGACGAACGGAAGCAUGACGGAGGAGGAAGCUGACGAGGCCAACCGUGUGCUCAUGGAGAACCUGAACAAGACCGGCAAGGCAUACCUUGCCCACACUGUGGUCGGCGACAGGUUUGUGCUCCGGUUUGCGGUGGGGUCAUCGCUGCAGGAGGAGAGGCACGUGAGGAGUGCAUGGGAGCUCAUCAAGAAGACAACCAGCGAGAUGAUGGAUUAGGUGGAUCGAGGGGUCUAUAGAGUAUAGAAACGAUAUUCCAAAAAAAUCACACAAAUACACACCCUGCAUUUAGGGUACACAAGUUUUUUUUUUGGGCGUGAGCCCAUAUUCAUUUUGUGAGAUAUACAGGGCUCGUUUAUGCCAGAAAUAUUGAUUUGAUAAUAAAAGAAUUCUAUUUAUAUGAACGCGAGAUGUGGAUUCAUUAAUUUUUUUCAAGUUGUGCGCACUACGUACCGGGUACAUGAAUAUCUAUGUGAGUUGAAAAGUCAAACUAGUUAUUAAUUAGCUGCGGUUAACAAGAAUUAGCUAGUCUCCGUGGCAGUGCAACACUGUUCUGUACGCGUACGUUUAUGUAAUUGUAAAUUAUUCAACUUAGCCAACGCGGUUGGAGCAGUUGCAUCUACACCAACAUAUAUACAUACAUAAAUCGCCAAUUGCCAAGUGAUGAUCUUUCUCUAAUUAACACACGUACGUAAACACGCAUGCAUACGUUACGUACGUAACUGCGUAUGGAUGACAUGCAUAGCUAAAGUAAACGACCUAUUUUUUUAUUCCAUCGAAGAAUUAAUAAUAUAUCUAGCUUACCUACCUUGCUUAAACAAUUAAUAAAUCGUGCGGCUCCGGUUCUACGCGUGCACAUAAUUAGUUGAACACCCCUGUAAAAGCGUGCUUAAACAAUUCCGACACGAUUUGGCUCUGUUUGAUACAAAGUUUUUUUUAAACCAUGGUAUUUCAAAACUACAAUAUUAUUUACCUUGGGCAGAGAAUACUGCAGUUUCUAAAAAAUCAAGUUUAUCUCAGUUUUAACAAAACCACACAAGCGGUGCUAUUUUUACCGCAUAUUCUAGCUAGCUAGUUCUGUUGGCACAACCUGUAGCGGCAGCAGGCGGCGCGGCGGCCAGCGGCACGACGACCCGCAGCAGGGCGCGGCAACCUGCAGCGACGCGUCACGAAGGUCGGCAGUGGGGGCGGCCUGCAGGGGCGGCGGCACGGCGACCCGCAGCUGGUGGGGGCACCUGCAGCGACGGCGGUGCGACAGCCGGCAGCUCGGGGCAGCCUGCAGUGACGGCGACACGGUGACCCGCAGCGGGUGGCCGCACCUGCAGCGUCGGCGGCGCGAUAGCCGGCAGCAGUGGCGGCCUGCAGCAGAGGGCGGUAGCGGGAGGCGGCACGGGGACCUGCAGCGGGGACGGCAACCUCCAGCUGUAGCGGCGGCACGCGUCCCUCUGCAGCCACGGUGACCUCCUGCAGCGGCGGUGGCGCAGAGGCGGCCAGCAGCGGCGGCACCGUGACCCGCUCCGGACCUAAAUUCCUCGCGGCCGCUGCCUCCCGAAUCAAGCUCCAAUGGUGUCGUCUUCUGCCUCCCUCCGCUCCAAUCUCGUGUGCCCCUCUCCCAGCUCCUCACUCCGUUGUUCCUUGCUGAUGGAGCCUGCAUCGCUCGCCGCUGUCCACAGCUGCUCCAAUUUCUGAUCUAUGGUGGCGCCCGCGACAUCGACGACUAUCGUGGCGGUGGCUGUUGGGUCUGCGCGCGCGUCGUGCUGGGACGCAUGCGGCGUGAUGGGCAUGUGUCUCACCGGCCGGCAGGGGCGCUGGCGAGGGAGGCCGCGGCUUGAGGGAAUUGCGAGUGACAGUAGCUGAAGACCACCGAGCGACGCAGGAUCCGUUUUUCCCCGUGCUUGGUAAAAAAUAAAGAGGUCCGGGGCUCUUUAUUUUAUACAGCGAAAAUACCAUAGUUUUAGCUAUACUACAGUAUUAAAACUACAGUUUUUUGUUGUACCCAAACACCUCAAAGUAUUUGAAACCAGAGUAAUUUUAAAAACUGUGGUAUUCACACAAAACUCCAAAAAUACUGAGCUAUCAAACACAGCACUUACAUUUUUUUCAGGACACGUGGUGUUGUCUAUGGACGUCUAUUUUCGACGCAACCCUAGAGUCCGUCAGGAGUGUUUAGAACAGUGCUGUCAAGGCAAACAUUUCGUUUUGAACUUUGUCAGAAAACAAAUUAAGUUUAAGUAAAGAAUCAAUGUCGCCCGAUCUUCACCUUUUUUUAUAUUAAUUUGUUUGUAACAUCAAGGGUGAUAUCAUUUUUUACUGUCAAUUAAUUGCAAAAUUAAAUAAGAUGUAUCGAACGAGAUAUCAUGCAUGCAUGGUCGUUCAGCCCGUAAUCCAUCCCCAGCUGAUUGAUUCAACGGAAUAAAAAGUCAGCGGUUCAUCGUGUAAAGAGCAUGCAUGCAGGAUUUCGCACCUAAUUAUCCCACACAAAUCUAGACACUUGGUCAACAUUUUUUUAGACAGCACUUUAGGUCAACAUGAAACAUGGAAAUCAAUUGUGUCCGCGGUGACUCUGACGACUUGACUGGAACCAACACGCACUCGUGCGCGCGAGAAAAAGAUUCUGGACUUUGGAGUCGGAGAUAAAUAAAAUUCCACACCAACGAAAGUGCAUGUGUUUCUUGUUCUCUGCCUGUUCCAUGUCGUUGCCCACAUGUGGGCAAGAUGCCCUUUGGAUAGUCCGGCAAACGCAGGCUUGCUCUAUGAGACUAUGACUGGGGAUCUAAGGAAUGUUGUUUAGUUAACCUCGAAGAACUGAAUUGCCAGGCAUGCCUUAAUUUACAUAAUAUUUUCAAAAAAGGGUACAACUCAGAAACCACAUCCUUAACCAUUUUUUAGCUAGCAUUCAUGCGGUGGCUCCGGUUGGACAAAUGGAAGAAAAUAAACUAAUUAAAUUUUUAUCAUCGAAGUACAACAUAUUAUUAUAUUUAACCAGAACAUGCAUGUAGGAGUAUGUUUGAACCGUAUUAGUUUUGAAAUAUAAAAUCAAACUACCCGAGAAGAUAUCUAUAGAUCGAGGUGAGGAAGCGUUUACUUUUGCAAGGCUUUGAAACCAUGACCAAUUAAUGUGUGGAGAUCUUUUGUGAUGUUUCAUUUCCAGUACUAUUUCCAGUAUGUAUGAUUAUAUAUUUAUAUGUGGACCAGUUUCCACUUUGAGCAAUUUUGAUGAUAAGAUCAGUACAGUAUGCAUCAUCUUCUCACAAAAUUAACAUGCAUGCAUAAAUAUGAAAGCAACAUGCACCGACGUCUUAGUCCAAAAUUGAUGUGCGCCACUGAGCUGAAUUUAACACGGAGGUAAAAAAAAAAAGAAAAACAUGCGUGCGUGCAUGAUAAGCGUGGCAUAUAUGGCGCACCUUAGUUAAUUUGCACAUAUACACAUCGUGCAGGCAGGAUUGCCGGUCAAGGUCAACAAGGGAUGGAUACAUGCUGCUGACAUGCAUGCAUGCAUGCAGGUUAUCCACAGACGUAUGCAUGUAUAGACUUCAGACGUGUCUCAUUCUCAUGUGCAGCGGAUUGACGACACUACGUACGCUGUCGUCUAGCUUGCGAAUAAUUGAAGUGUCUCACACCCGUGUUCCACGGCAUGCAUGCAGCUACCGUGCAUACACACGCCCCGACACGUUUUAUAAGCUUCUAUAUAACAAAAUGACCAAUAUCACACAGAAAUUGAGUAAGCACGUACGUACAUACGUACGCGUGAUUUUGUUUUCGGCCAGCCUGAUCGUCAAGCUUGCCGACUACAGUAAUACGGCGCCGCGUACGGCUCUUUCCGUCCCAUAUUAACUGUCGAAAUAUUACAUGUAUCUAGAUGUUUUUUAGCUAUAGAUAAAUCCAUGUUUGGGAAAAGAGGAAGUAUUUGACUAAGAUAUUUAUUGCAAGAUUACAAAGAACGAACAAAUUAACAGGAUUAUAUCAAAUUAAAUAGUUAAGUCGUGUUACCACGAAAUCUUCUCUGUUCGUUUGCUGCGGAUGUCGCUCGUGCUGAUUGCCAGAUUUGGCCUGAUCAAGAGACCGUGAUAACCAAAUUAAUUAAAUCGAAUUCGUGCUGAUGUUGAUGGGGCAUGCAUGCUUUUUUUAUAUUAGUAUUCAUUUUCGAAAAGAAAAAUAUUUGUCACCAGAUCAGCCUUGACGGAACUGUCACGCGGCUACAAGGGCAAUUAACGAUGGGAUGACGUAAGAGAUACUAGUAUAUUGGAAAGGAAGGUUAUGCAUGCCAUGACAGUUAAUUUCUAUAGAUAUAUAUAUAGCUUGACGCGAGUGCAUGCGUGUCGCUAAAUUUUCUCUGGUAUACACGUGAAACGCAUUUACCGAUAGUGGAAACAAUUUUUAUAUAGUGACUUGGUCAAUUUAAUUUCCAAGCCGUGAAAAUCAUUUGAAAACGAAAAUGACCAAAGUGAAGUCCGUCUAAGAUCGUGUGCGUGGUAGCAGUAGCACUCUAUAAUUUCCGUUCGAUCGAAGCGUUUGUUUGUGAUAAAACUUGGGAUAAGUCUUGAGCGGUAACGAGUAUACAUACACAGAGGCGCAUGCAUGCACAGAGUAGAAGACGUACUGUUGGGACUUCUGACGGCCGGCUUGCAUGAAGACGUGGUCAAACUGUACAAGUAUAGCCCGUCAAAAAAAUACUGUAGAAGUAUUUUCUCAAAAGAAAUAUGAAAAGUAUGAUACGUUCACACAGUAGACCCAGCCGGGACUGCGCUGAACUCACUAGCUACUCCGUUGCAUGUUGAAUCAGUUAGUAUCCAAGCACAGUACUCUUGCAUGCGUUAUUACUCGGAGGGAAUUAAUGAUACACAGUCGGUCAGUGUAGUAGUCAGCAAAUUUCGAGGAAAAAAACAAAAAUACUUGUCAGAAAAUUAAAGCCGCCGGAUGCAUCAAUGGUUGCAGGUACGUCCAGAUUUUACCUUCUACGUCCGUGUCCAUUGGAUGCGUAUGCUUGACCGUCCAGUUGGACCUUCGUAGAACCACACAACCAUGGACCCAUCCAACGCCCACACCACCACGCCAUUUCAUUAUUUCAGACCAGCUAGCUUAUUAAGCUUCCUAUAUAUACCUGCGCUCACCAAAAACCAAGCAAAGCAAACAAGCUCUAUCUUAAUCACAUAGCUUCUUCUUCCCUCUCGGCCGGUCGAUCACCAGAGCAAAAUCAAACAAAGCUAGCUACCUCACGAAGCAAAGCUUCUUGCUCUGCUCCCAAGUGCUUAAGCUCGAUCGACAUGGGCAGCCUUGACACCACACGGCCUUCUCCGCCUUCCCCGACGACGACAAGUCGUUCCAGCCGCUCAACACCGACGAUGUCCGCGCCUAUCUCCACAAGGCCGUCGACUUCAUCUCUGAUUACUACACCAACGUCGAGUCCAUGCCCGUGCUCCCCAACGUCAAGCCGGGGUACCUCCAGGACCAGCUCAGCGCCUCUCCGCCAACUUACUCGGCUCCCUUCGACGUCACCAUGAAGGAGAUCCGCAACUCCGUUGUCCCCGGCAUGACCCACUGGCAGAGCCCAAACUUCUUCGCCUUAAGUAAUGGAGGGAGUAUGUCCUUUGCACGGGAUACACAUCGGCUAUACCGAAUUGACAAGAUAAACAAAAAUUGACAAUAUCAAUGUUGGAACUCAGGCCUAAACUUUUGUCGCAAGCAACAACAGCAAGCUAAUUGAUUUCCGGCGAGACGCGUGGAUAGCCAAAGGCUCCUGUCAAGCCUUGCCUUUCUCCUUUUUUUAUUUUUUGGGAUUGAGUUACAGGGUGCCGACUACAUCCGUAUUUAUACACGGCCACAAGACCAAACUGAAUACGACUAGAAAUCUAACUCCUAAACCGACUAGAACUAGACUAGGACCAGAAAAGAACUCUAUUCGGAUUGAUCCUACGCUUACAUUCUCCCCCUAAGAUCAAAACGAACUUCUACUUGAUAACGUCGACGCCGAUCUUCUUCCUCGUCUCUUGAAAUUUCACUCUUCCAAGAGACUUCGUCAAUAUGUCGGCCAACUGCUCAUCUGUACUGAUAUAAUCAACAUCAAGCUUGCUUUCUUCCACGCAUCCUCGGAUGUAAUGAAAUCGGGUGUCGAUAUGUUUACUUCUAUCAUGAAAUACCGGAUUCUUACACAGAGAUAUAGUGGACUUGUUGUCAAUCUUCAACUCAAACUUUUCUGGUUCUCGGUUUAGUAGAUCAGCAAGCAAUCGCUCUAGCCACACUCCCUGGCAUGCUGCGGUAGCUGAUGCAAUGUAUUCAGCUUCACACGAGGAUAGAGCCACAACCUUCUGCUUCUGUGACAUCCAGCUCACAAUAUUUCCACCUAGGAAAAACGCCAUGCCCGAAGUACUUUUACGGUCAUCAACGUCGCCGGCCAUAUCACUGUCACUGUACCCGACUAGUUGUGUCUUCUCCUCUUUCUUCUUUGAGUAAACACACCCAUAAUUCAGGAUUCCUUUGAUAUACCGCAAAAUCAUCUUCACCGCUGCAAAGUGUUCUGUUGUGGGGUUCUCCAUGAAUCGACUAACGAUCCCAACUGAGUAUGACAAAUCUGACCUUGUAUUCACCAAGUAUUUCAGACUUCUCGCAAUACUUCUAUAUUCGGUACUAUCAACAGGAUCUGUUUCGCUGUGUUUGCUCAAUUUAUGCCUUGCUUCCAUCGGUGCUGAGGUAGCAUUGCACUCUUCCAUGCCGCACUUCUCAAGGAUUUUCCUUGCAUAAGCUUCUUGACACAAAGUUAUUGAGUCUCCUCGCUGACAUACUUCUAUCCCAAGGUAGUAGCUCAACAAACCAAGGUCACUCAUCUUGAAAAGAUCUAACAUCUGCUUCUUGAAUCUUGCAACCUCCCUCUCAUCUGCACCCGUGAUCAACAGAUUAUCAACAUAUACUCCAACUAGGAGCCGUUCCUUCCCAUCACCUCGUUUGUACAUAGCAUGCUCCAAUGGACUCUUCUCAAAUCCGAGGGCACCAGUGUAGCGUCCAGCUUGGUGUUCCAUGCCCUUGGUGCUUGCCGUAGCCCGUACAAUGCCUUGUGCAGUCGCAACACCUUAUGUUCCGCUCCCCCUUCGACGAAACCUGGAGGUUGUUGUACAUAUACUUCUUCUUGUAGGUCACCGUUCAAGAACGCUGAUUUCACAUCCAUAUGAUGCAGCUUCCAGGAUUCUUGAGCGGCCAAAGCAAUCAACAACCGUACCGAUUCCAUCCUUGCGACUGGAGCGAACACUUCCUCAAAGUCAACGCAUUGUUGCUGCACAUAGCCCUUUGCUACCAAGCGUGCUUUGUGCUUUACCACAUUGCCAUUGGAGUCUUUCUUCACUUUGAAUACCCACUUGAGGCCUAUGGGUUUAUGCCCGGCAGGGAGAUCAACCAAGCUCCAUGUCUUGUUAUCUUGGAUUGACCCCAUCUCCUCCUCCAUAGCCUUGCGCCAACUUUCUUCCUCGCUAGCUUCUUCAAACGAGGUUGGUUCUUCGGUACUUAACAAGCACCUUUCCUUUGCUGUGCGCUUCAUCUUGACCGUCUUCGUCUUGCGGAUCAUCUUCUUUGGAGAAGGGUACAACUCCGAUAGAGGUCGAAGUCAUUCGGGCGUCGGGCGGCGAGUCCGCGACCGAGUCUGCACCGGCGAUCGUACCAUCGUCGAUGCCCUUUGAGAGGUUGCUGCCGCGGUAGAAGUUUCAGCGUCUCCGCCGGCUGCUGCAUCCUCCCCUUCACUCGCUCCUGCCGCGACAGAGGGAUAACAUUGAAAAACGACGACAAAUAAUAUGAGAGCUCAAGAAUACAUGUCCUAACAAGCCAUGGGUGGGAAUGCCCCCUUUGGUGAACAAAUGUGACCGUGCUCUUUUUUCUACCUCCACCACGGUGCAGAUUGGUGAUGGUCGUAAGACGAAAUUCUGGCAUGACUCCUGGCUGGAUGGUUUGGCUCCUAAUGUCAUCGCACCUACUAUUUUUGCCAUCACUAGGAGGAAGAACCGUUCUGUGCACGAUGAUAUUACCGAGGGGGCUUGGGUCCCCGCUUUAAGAGCAAGAUCUCCAAUGCGGUUCAACUCGAUGAGUUUGUCUCCCUUUGGUUGAGACUUCAAGGUGUGGUCCUGAACCCCGACCCCCUCGAUUCCAUCACUUGGCGUUGGACCUCACAUGGCUCCUAUACCUCCAUCUCGGCGUACAAGGCUCAAUUCCUUGGCUCCAUCCAUGCCCAACACGCUAACACUGUUUGGAAAGCCAAGGCCGAAAACAAGUGCAAAUUCUUCGCCUGGCUUCUUGUGCAAAAUAAGAUCCUGACCGCCGACAAUCUCGCCGUCAGGGGCUGGCCGCACACUCCUGGAUCACUACUACAGAAAACCCCAUCCGUGAUCCCCCAAAGGUGGCGGUUAAAACGGACCAAAAAACACACUGCCACAGGAGGCCUCCCGGGGCAUCCACGAGCGCCAUCAGUGGCGGUGAUAAUCGCCGCCACUGCUGCCCCACCACCAGUGGCAGUGAAUAUUGUCCGGAAACAAGUCACCGCCACUGGUGAUCCAUCACCAGUGGCGGUGUUUCUCACCGCCACUGGUAAUGGCCAUGGAAACCUUAACAACCACCAGUGGCGGCCGUAAAAAAUACCCGCCACUAGUAGACCACCUGAUAAAUGAUGGUACUACUCAGUCUUAGUGACCUUCCCUGAACCCCUUAAGCACCACCCGAUCACUCGUUUAGAACUCAACCGGAACGGGGAACGCACUGAGCACUGAGUAGUAACCACCGGUAGGUGGGACGGCGGAAUCUUAUUUAUGCUGGUCGAAACUCCUCUAAACUAGCGAGGUGGGACUAAAGUUGGGGAACUGAUGGGAGAUCAGCAGUGGAGGGUCUAAUCUUACCAGUGGUGAUCUUCCAGUGGCGGUUUACUUCUCCGCCCGCCACUGGAGGCCGUCAGUGGCGGUUAUUCUAUUUGCCCGCCACUGGAGACCUCCCUAUAUAUAACCCCUGUGCGAGCCCGAAGCUGUUUGAGCUUGCACGUCUGUCUUGGACCAGCUGCAGCUCUGCUUCUCACCGACGGUGAAGCCCUGCCAAAAUUUGAUGGCGGCGGCAGGAAGGUAGCUCUCCCCCCUUCUCCUCCCUCUUCCUCUCCCUUCUUCCUCCUCCUAUUCUUCUCCAAUUUUGUAAAUUGGCCAUUAAUGGUGCCUUGGCCGCCGGCGGGAAAUCCGGCCCCGAUCUCUCUCCGCCGACUCUCCCAGGCUGCCCCCGCUGUCUCUGGAGCUCCCCCUCACCCUAGUGAUGAUCCUCCCUCUCUCUCUCGCUUUAAUUUUGCUCGGAUGAGCUCCCUCUCUCUCUCUAGCUCUCUCUCUCUCUGCAGCUCUCUUUCUAGCUCUCUCUCUCUCUGCGGCUCUCUCUCUAUAUAGCUGCUUAUGGGGGAGCUUAGCCCCUGGGGGUUAGCCCUAGGGUUAAGCUUUACCUCGGGACCGGUGUACGUGCAUGUUCAAACAUAUUAAAUGUGUGUUGACACCGGCCUUCGUGCCGUGUAUUUCUUAUGUGAUGUGUUUCCAGCCGUCGUGCCGAUGUGGGUGGGGGUAAUUUGUUUUUGAUGCAGGCAUCGAAUUUCGUAGUGCAAAAUGCUAUUUUUUUAGCAAAGGUCAUGCCGAAAUUUUCCAUUUUGUUCAAGCAAGCUGAUUUGUUAAUUUUUUUAAAAAAUUGUGUUGUAGCUCGAUGGGCCGUGCUUGGAUGUACGAGGACAGGUUACGUGUUGAGUGGAUAGAGCGGCUGAAGACUUUUGUCGAUGCCGGCGUGGAAGAUAUGCAUAGGAAAGGGGGUGAUAAGAUGCGUUGUCCCUAUGUGAGAUGUCGGAACAGCAAGCUGUACGAGGCAGAGGAUGUGGAGAUGCACUUGCUCAUGCGGGGAUUUGUGUUAGGUUAUUCAAGGUGGACUUCUCACGGGGAGGAUGGCAUUGAAGCCAAUGGCGGCAUUGAGAUGGAAAACAUGGAGUCUGACGACCAGCCUGGUGAAGAAGCAUACCGUGGCCUGGAUCUAGUACAGGACGUUCCAACCGGUAGGAUGGUUGAAAUGCUGGACGAUCAACAUCUACAGAAUCAGUUGGAUGACCCCGAGGAUGAGAGGGUGUCCCGUAAGUUCGAAAAGCUGAGGGAGGAUGCCGAGACACCGUUAUAUGAAAAUGCCGGCGUGGAUAAGAGUGUGCUAGAAAUAACGCUCGAGCUUUUGCGUAUAAAGGCAAAAUACAACAUCGUGGACUCGGGAUUCACGGAGAUUCUGAGUUACCUACGUACGGUACUUCCUCCAGGCAACAAGUUGGCUAAGAGCACGUACGAGGCGAAGAAAGUUACAUGCCCACUCGGGUUAGAGGUCAUCAAAUACCAUGCUUGUCCGCUGGACUGCAUCAUAUAUAAGGGCGACUACAAAGACAUGCACAGCUGUCCAGUAUGCAAAACAUCCCGAUACAGGAAGAAAGACCCCAAUCCUGACGGCGGCGAGGAGGGAGAAUUGAAGCGUGGUGCGGCGGCAAAGACGGUCUGGUAUCUCCCGUGUGGCACUAGGCUGGAGCGUUGGUUCCAGAACGAGAAGAAGGCCAGGUGGUUCAUCUACCACGACACGACUCAGGCGGAUAUCGAUCCUGAGGGCGUGUACCGCAACGAUGAUGGAGUCCUCAGACACCCCACAGAUGUGGCUCAAUGGAGGACUCUGGACGACGAAUUCCCCGAGUUCAGCGCAGAGCCUAGGAACAUCAGGUUCGGGAUGAGUACGGACGGGAUCAAUCCGUUCGCAAACUUGAGCAGCAAACACAGCAUAUGGCCGGUGAUCUUGUUCAUAUACAACCUCCCCCCGUGGCUUGUCAUGAAGAGGAAGUACAUCCACCUAUCAAUGCUCAUACAGGGCCCUAAGCAGCCUGGAACUGAUCUGAACGUGUAUCUGGAACUACUGAAGGAUGAGCUCAAGGAGCUUUGGGAGAAGGGCCGAAAGGUUUGGGACGCUCAUAAGAAGGAGGAGUUCACCCUUCGAGCAGCUCUCCUGACAUGUGGGCAUGACUACUCGCGAACGGGAACUCAUCAUGCCAGUCAACACAUGGGUACAAAGCGUGCACAAAGUGCGGGGACGAGACAGACGGGUUGUUCCUGCCAGAAUCUAAAAAGAUUGUGUACAUGGGACACCGUAAGUGGCUGGAGAUGAAGGACCCAUGGAGGGAUGAUAAGAAAAACUUCAACGGGACGGCAGAGAGGCGGCACAAACCGAGGGAGCUGACUGGACACGAAGUAUACGAAAUUGUCAGGGACCUCGAAGUCGUGGCCGAGAAAGCAUAGCCGGCUGCAGGUCCAGAUGGUGGCGGCCUUACGUACAAGAGGAGGUCCGUGUUCUGGGACCUGCCUUACUGGAGGUUCUUACAGAGCCGUCACACCAUAGACGUCAUGCAUGUCGAGAAGAACGUGUGCGACAGCCUGUUGGGCUUGAUGAUGCACCAUGCGGACAAGUCAAAAGAUGGACCAAAGGCACGGAAGGACCUGCAGUGGAUGGGGAUAAGGGAGAAGCUGUGGCCGAUAGAGGAAGAGGCGCCGCAGGAACACAAGGAUGGUGAACGCACGAUAUAUAUGCAAUGCAAAUUACAGGUGGUAUAAUUAUUAUACACCUGAAAGUACAGGUGGCAUAAUUUUCAGAAAGAUAGAGAAUAUAAUAAGAAUAUGAUACUAGAGCUAAAAUAAUAACCAGUGGCGGGUAUAUGAAAUACAACUGCCACUGGUGCUUCGAACAAAGUUGUGGUUAGCUUCACUCCGGUUCCAAUUACCAGUGGCGGGGUUUUCACAUAUACCCGGCACUGGUUGGUCUCCAAUGGCGGGUAUCCGGAAAUACCUGCCACCGGCGGUCUCCUGCACCUGUAACCCUAGGAAGGUCUCCAGUGGUGGGCCGCCACUGGAGACCCUCCCCAUAUAUAUUACAGGGCAAGACUUGGCGAAAAUUUUCGUAUCCGAAGCGCGCGUCUUCUCGACCAGUAGCGCUUCCUCGAGCACCCCGACGGCGAAGCGCUGCCCAAAUCUCGCGCCGCUGCCGCCAUUCUCCCUCGCCUCCCCUCCCCUCCCUCGCCGCCGCCCUUCUCCUCACCUCCCUCGUGCCUCCCUCGCCGAAACCCUAGCCGCCGCCAUGAGUAGCUCUACCGGCGGCUCCGGACGCUCGAUGCGGAGCAGGAAACCGUUGGACUCCACGGCCACCGGAUCGGGAUCCGGCGGCGCUGCCUUGCCGCCGAGCGACCCCUAUCGCAGGGGGCGCGGUCGGACCCGCUCGGCGGCAACUCCGCCGCCAACCGCGACGGACGGGGCCGCCUACCCCACCGCGGCCGCCGCGGCCGCCACCUCCGCGUCCGCCACCGCCGCGCCCGCUACGGCCGCCUCCACCGACCCUGCCUCCACCCCUGUGCCCGCCUCCGCCCCCGCCCCGGCCGGUGCCGCCCCGGCCGCCUCCGCCCUGGCCGUCGCGACCCCGGUACGCUUAGGGUUUAUGUUUUUUUUAAAUUAGGGUUGCUGUUUUUUUAAAUUAGGGUUGCUGUUUAUGUUUAGUUAGGGUUUAAAUAUUGUUGUUUAUGUUUAGUUCUAGCUAUUUAGGAUUUAUAUUGCUGUUUAUGGUUAAGUAUUGAUGUUAUUGGUGUUUAUGGUUUAAUGAUACAUGGAUGUGAUCCCGACCAUCGUGUCGGUUGAUAUGAGGAAUGUGGGCCCGGCCAUCGUGCCGGGUCGUUGAGAAGGGACCGGCCAUCGUGCCGAGGGGGUAUAUGUGGGUGGGAGUUUUGUUUAUGCAAGUAUAACAUUCGGGUAGACUCAUUUGUUGUUUUACAGCAAUGGUGAUGCCGAAAUUUUCUUGUUUUACAGCAUAGGUCAUGCCGAAUUUUUCCGUUUUUUUAAAUUACUUUUAUAAGUGUUGGAUAGGAACCUCAGGCUCGCGUUGAAGAGGUGCCUGAGCAGCCACCGGUUGUGGAGGGACAAGUCGAAGAAGAUGCGGGGGCAUUGUCCUCGGCCUCGGAAAUUGCCAUGAGCGAGGAGCAGCUGUUCCUUGAAGGAGUCGAGGAGCAGCUGCUCCUUGAAGGAGCAACUAACGAGGAAGAAGCCCAGGGCGAACAAGGUGCGGCGUCGACUAAUCAGUCGAAGUCCAAGCGGGGGGUGAACAAGGUGCCGACGGAGUCGUGGGUCGUCACCAAGCUGAGCAAAGAAAACUACCCGGAGGAACCGGUGGAGGCCGCAGAAAGAUUCUCCAACACAUGCAACGCCAUCGUACGGGUACGCGCUCGGAUCUAUCAAAGAUGGAGCGACGUCCCGGAAGCUGCGAAGCAGGACUGUUACGAGGCGGCAUGGAAGCGGUUCGUGCCUGCCAAUGAUGAGAUCAGGAGACGGUUGGAGUGGCGGAUGCACCAAGUCAUGAGGAAGGGCUAGAGCACGUGGCAAUAUAACUGCCGGAAGCUCAUCGGCAAAGACUGGAAGACAGAGGUGAACAAGCACUGGAAGGGGAUCUCGGAGGAGGACUGGGAGAGGUUCAAGGAGUGGGUCAGGUCAGAUGAAUUCAAGGCCAGCCAAAAAUGGUACAAGGAGCUUCGUGAGAAAAGGCCCUUCGACCACCGCCUCGGCAGUCGUGGACGCCCCGGAAAGGAGAAGGUGUGGGCGAAGGAGGACGCCGCAUUGGACCAAGCCGGUAUACAGCCGAGGGUCCCAACUUUGCUUCGCGGUGAGUGCUCCAGCAAAUGGAUGCGGUCGUCCAUGACCGCAAAUUAGUGGGCGGGCCUGGAGCCUAUGUCAGAGAAGCAAGAGGCUGCACUCGUAAGGCCUCGUCCUGACAUCUUCUUUUAUCGGUUGGGCUUCUUAUACUCACAUAUAACAUUAACACCGAGCAUAUUGUUUUUUAUACAGGGUGUAAUUGCAAAGUGGGAGUCGGAUGGCUCCCACUCGUCUAUCAACCAACAGUGGGAUGAUGCCAUCAGCUACGCUCUGCAACGAAAUGAGCACGGGGGCCAUAUGCGAGCUGUCGGUUCCGGGCCCUUUCGUAGGCGGAUGGCGAAAGAGCAAGGUUUCCGCAAACGCAGAAGGACGUCCAGCAAAGAACAGUGCUCAGAGGAACUAGAUGAGAAGAUCCGGGUGUUGACGAGGGAGGAGCUUAGGAAGUUCAUGCGGCUUGCAAGGGACCAGCGUGACGUCGACAACUUCAUCGAUCACGGUGUUUUCCCGGAGACGCCCAUCCAACCAACCCCACCCGCAUCGGAUCCGUCCCCGCUGCAGAAUAAGAGCACCUCAUGCUCCGGCACCGAGUGCCAGCUUGACCCGCUUGGGCCACCCGACGAGAACCUCACGGUAAGCAUCUUCGCACGCUCAGAAAAAUUGUGAAAUACCACUAUCAUGCUCCAAUCCAUUAAUGAUGUUGCCAUGUUUGUCAUGUGCAGAAGGGUGUCAAAUGCUGGCUACACAUGCCGACGGUGGGGAACCCUCUAGGUGCGCGCGGGUUGCUGAUGCCGCGUACGGCCGUGGUGCACCACGUGACCCUGCGAGACAACAUGGUCAGGGUGCAGGUGGACUCCGUGCUCAGGGGCUUCGAGGAUGAACCGGUCCCUUAUCCUCCGCACGAAGAGGCAACGACCCUAAGGGAUUGCGUCAACUCCUACCUCAUCUGGCCUAGGAGGUUGGUGGUCCUCGCUACGGAGCCGUCUCCAUCUCCGUUCCCCCGCCUCGGUCCGUCUCCACCCACCCGGCGCAUGACGUCUCCGUCGCCGCUUGGCGCCUCACCCGGUCCUUUCGACUACGAGCCCGCGAAACGAGACUUUUCACUUGCGGCGGAGUGCAGCGAUGACAAUGCAGGCAAAAAUAUUCCGUUGCCGCCCAAACCCAAAGCCCCGAAGCCAUCUGCACCAAGACCCGUCCCUCGGAGAGCCGCAGCACAAUCGGCCCCGUUGGAGAGCCGUCCAAGUGCCCCUGCUGGGAUGCAGGUCCCCCAGAAACCGGACAAUUCCGAUUUCCUGAGACGCAGGAAAAACAAAAGGGGGACAGGCGGCAAGGCAAGCAAGGGCUCCUCCAAGGAGGCGAAAGAGUCGUCUUCUACGGGAAGACAACCAAAGACCGCGCCGCAGAUAGAAGGAAUCUGGGAAGAGCGGCCAGACAUUCCGAAGAUGCCCACCCACCCCCGUGUUGGAGAUAGAUUGCCUGAUGGGUCUUAUUUCGUGGACAAGCGAUUCUCCCAAUUUUUGUUGUUCCACCCCGGACAACCGAUGGUGACCCAGAAUGACCUGUAUCGCCUGCCACGGGAGAUGCAAGAGCUCCAUGAUAAAUACAUGAAUGUGGCAUCAUCAGGCGCAGACCUCCAGAAUUCGGAAAUCAGGGUUCGAGUGCCAAAUCAUUAUGGCUUCUUCGACUCCAAUACGGGGGAAAUCCAGAAGGAAAACGAUGUUACCUUCGGCAUUGAUUUCCUCAACUUGUUUCACCUCUUCAACCGCAAGUGCCUCGACAACGCCAUAUUAAGACUGUGGUGUGUAUACUACACGAGGGAGGCCUAUAGGGUGAAGCAAUAUGGGAUGGCCGUCGCCGACCCCCUUCUCUUCAACGCCACUUUGCUUGGUCCAGACCCAUUGUUGGCCGAAAGUAGAAGGUCGGCAAUUGAAUACCUCACUCAAUUCAUCUUGAAGCACAGAGACCGCCAUUUCGUAAUGAUAUUGUACCAUGUACAGUAAGUUGUUUUCAAUUUGCCUGAAUACAUAAAUCUUUUUCCGUCGGAAGACUUGCUUAUUAUAUUACUUGGCUAAUACAAUGUGCGUCUUUUUGUGAAACAGCGGCCAUUGGGUGACAAUCGCCAUCUGCCUCGAUAUGGGAGGGGUCACAUAUUUUGAUCCACUAAGACGCAAGGGGAAUGAACCACAACGCGACUUUGGGCCGAUAAAAUAUGUCAUCGACUCAGCCUAUCGCGACGCGGUGAAAUGGUACGGGAUGACUGGCUUCAGCCGCAAUCCUGACGCUCCCCUCAGGGACAAUUUCAACUUCCCCUGCGAGCAACAGCCUGAAGGAUCUGUCUACUGCAGUUACUACUACGCGCACACUAUUCAGCAGUUCAUCAACGACUUCCAGCCAAAGGGGAAGAAGACCUUCGAAAGUGAGGAAUUGGUUUUUGGCCAACGCCGAGUUAGGGCACAACUCAGAAAUUCUCGUGUACGAGAUCUAGAAGGACAUCGGCGAAAUCCUCAAUAAGGAGGUCCUCAAAUCAAGCGGGGAUUACUACGACGGCGGGAUUGUCGCCAAAGUGGCUAAAUUGUGUGGAAUACUUUUAUUUGUGGCUCCACUGGAAAAGGUUCUAGUGGCGGUGGCCAUAGACCGCCACUCGAUAACCCGCCACUGAUGUGCUCCACGCACUUUUUGGUUGGUGCCGGAGGGAUUUACAGUGGCGGUUUGUGUGUCUUCGGUGGCGGGUAUUUUACCCGCCAUUGGUGAUCUCGGAGCAGCAGUGGCGGGUAUUUCACCCGCCACCGCUGCCAAAAUCUCUAGUGACACAGAGUUGGUGGCGGGCGUGAUCACCGCCACCAACCCCAUUUUUUGACCACCACUGGAGGGGUUUUCUGGAGUAGUGGAUGUUCCCUUUGCAUUGAUCCUCAUGAGACUGGGACACACCUUUUCCUUCGAUGCCCCUUUGCCCACCAGGUGUGGGAUAAAGUCCUUGACCACUACAAUUUCAGCAUCCUUCAGCAGGUCAAGCCUUCUGACUACAGGGACACUUGUGCCUGGUGGAUUCAAGCCUCCAAGACGAUUGACAAAGAAAGAAGACAAUAUUUCAAUGGGGUGGUCAUUUGCAUCAUGUGGAACAUUUGGAAGGAGCGCAACCGCCGUAUCUUCCAGACCGUGGCAGCUCCUACUUUUGUUGUCGCAUCGCUUGCCCGUGACGCAAUUGAUACCCAUAGGCUUGCUUUCCAUUGUGUGACCGUGCCGUUAGGUUUCUUGUGGUUCUUCUGUUUUUCUGUCCGUCCUACCGGCCAGCUGCGUUUGGUCCGUUAGGAUAGUCUUUCUCUGUUUCGUCUUUGGCUUUUUUCCUUCUUUCGACCUCGGUCGCAUGUACAUAUACUUGGUUUUCCCCUUCUAAUAUUGCAUGGCAGAGCUCCUGCCUUUCACGGCAAAAAAAAAACAUAAACAGAUCUAUCUAAAGUACCGCGUUAAACGACACCAAGGAAACGUAAACCGGACCAAUCUAUUAAUAAGGCAAGCUUGUUCAAGUAGUUAUAUUACAAUAAAAAAUAUGCCUGAGAGGCAAAUUGGAAACAAAGAUCCUGAGUAUUGAUGAUAAAAACAAUUGGGACCACAUCUAUUAGCUGAUGAAAUGGUAGGAGCAAACCUUCACUAGCAGCCUACAAGAACAACGUGGCCAUUCUCUACAGCCUCCCAUUGGUAUCUUCAAGCCCCUCAUUUCUACCAAAUGAUCUUCUCACCAAAUAUAAGAUAUGCCAGAGUACACAACUUUUUUAGGAAAGAAAGAGAGACUGAAGAAACAAGAACAUGACUUCAUGUUAACAACUGGCAUAGUUUGGUACAUGUUCUGUAUAAUAGGAUAGAAUCACAGAAGGUAGAUUACAGGCAUCCUGGAGAUUAUGAUUAGUAUGUAGGCAUUUAUGCAAUACGGCUCAAUCAAUAAUUAAUUGUACCUGUUAGUGAGAUCCUGCAAGACUGUAAGCAAGAAUCAGUUACCCAAACGCCAUCAUAAAGAUCACAAUCUAGAGAAGUAUGGAUGGAAUCAGGACGGCUCAAACUUACCAUCUCGGUAUAUGAUUUUUUGAGAUAUGACACACAAGGUACACCUCUCUUGGCCGAGCUCCUCCAUCAAGCUCACCAGCUUUGGUCAUGCUCAUUGAUGAUUUGCUCAAGACACAUCACAUUGUGUUUAGUGUUGCCAUUACAUUUCAUAUAUGUUGGCAAGUGUUUAAGCCAAGAUGCAGAAGAUACACUUUAUAGAGUACCAAUGUCUUUGCUCCUGCAGGCACCUCCUAGCCAACAAAAACUAUAUUUUUUCCUGAAAUUAUUCCCAAGCACUCUUAUAUGAUAUCGCUAGUAGUUUCAAGCACACUUGACACUACUGAUGAAUAAAAAUCUGAAGUUUUGAUUUGUGAGCUGAGUGAAAUCAGCUAGUUAUACAAGUGGUAGUGGAGAUUUGAAAGAGGCACAUACCAUGGAUGCAGGAAGAACAGCUGGAGAAGUCUACUCGAUGCAACUGUGAACUACUUAAGAUUGGAUAAGUUGUAGCAUGUGGCAAGUAUUCCGGCGAGCCUUUUGGUUGCGGCAAGCUGGAACGGCAAGCAUGCUCCUUGGAACGGCAAGCACGAUGGAACCACUUUAUCUGAAAUGUAACUAAAUCAAUCUUGAAAUGUUUAGCUUAGCUAGUUUAAACAAGAUUAAUGUCUAGGAACCAACACGAGCUAGCAAGGGUCACAUAGCUUACCUGGAUGGAAAAACCUUUGAAUUCUGAUAUGAUCUGCAACAUCCAAUGGAUGCAACUCCUUUACCAAGCAAUAAUAAAAACCAAUCAUAAUUCGACAUCUAGCACAAUAAUAAAAAAGGAUGCAAUUUUUUUGUUAGUUAAGCUCUUACCAAAGGAAACAUACAAAUUGCAGACCAGGAGAUUCAUCCACACAUGGGCGUCCUGCACAGCAUUUCUUGUGAACACAGCACCCUUGAGCCAUUUCGUCAAACACGUUUUGUGCAAUCAGCACAGCCGUGCCUCCAUGUGCAUGCACGCUGCUCCCGGGCGCGGGGCGCUUGAGACCUGCUUGCUUCCCAUGUCGAUUGGCCCACCGUGAGAAACACGUGCGUGUCACGUAUGCUGCGUCCCCUGCUUGCCUCCCAUGUCGAUUCCUGAUCCGACAGCCGCCCUCGAGCGUGAGACGGGCUCGAAUACGGAACUGCCCACGGAGACCCUUCUGCCCAGCGAUACAAUACAGCAACGGCCGGCGUGGCGCAGGCAAUGUAGCAGCAGCCGGCGGGGCGGUGGCCGGAUCGAGGUCGAUGGCGGUGGCGAUUCCCGUACAUGGACGUGAUUCCCGUGAGGUGGCGGCUAGUGGCGACGUCGAGGUGAUUCCUGUGAGGUGGCGCCGAGGGGCGUUGUCGAGGUCGACGGCGAGCGGUUGUAGGAGGAUGGAGGCGCCGGCAUCGAUCUGAGGAGGCGGUUGCUUGUGCGGCGGCUUGAGUCAAGGCGGCGAUCACGGUCUCUGGAGACGCGGGCGGCUCGAUUCCUGGAGAUAAUCACGGGAUUGGAGAUAAUCGGGAGUGCGUUACGAUGGUUUGUUGUACGAUGGUUUUUCUGGGCGAGCGCUGGAGUCAAUCGCGGCACUGAUUGAUUGAUUGAUUUGGGUAUCCCGUGGGGAUCGGUUGCUGCUUUUUCGCUCGGGGGUGAGGACGAACCUACGGCGGACUAACGCAACUGGAAAUUAAGAAACGAUAGUGGCACGACAAACAACUGGAAAUUAAGGAACAGUAAAAAUAGUGGCACGGCAAUCUAAAUACCAAGCAUGCCGAAAAUAUCGCGGUCGAGAAUUAUUAUUCUCAACUCUCGAUAGAGAACCUUCUUUCCGCUUUCGAUAUCUAUCGAUCGAUCGAUCGGGCCGGCUGGAAAAAAGAAGAACAGGAGAAAAUCAAAAGCUAUUCCAAUUUCCAAGUUGUAGGGACAGUGAUAUAUACAGUAUUAUAUUACUGGUAUAUACCUCUGGUUCGAAUCUUACAUUAAUUUGACGACCAUGACCAAACACCGUCAAACACUAACUAGUGUGUUGUCCCAGUCUAUAGCUAGCGCCCAUGUUCUAUGUCAGGGCGCGCGAAAGAUUAAUAUUCAACCAUGCUACUGCUGACCAGGUCAACAUCGGAAGACGAGUUCAUCCAUCAUUUUAAUUGUUAGUUACCUUACGACAUUUCUUCUGUGGUUUCUUAGCACGCCAGCUUAAUUAGCAAACUACGUACUGCAGGAGAAGCAAUGCUUUCUUCUUGUCCUUCAUCUUUUGCCUCGUUUAAAAAAAAUGUAAAUUGCACAAAGACACAUACGUAGAUGCUCUUGUAACAAGAAACCACGAAGUCAGAUUUUUUUUAACUGAUACCCAAGACAUGAAGACUAAUGAAUAACAAAAAAACCCGUAAGUGACCGGUUUGGACAAGUUAAUGGCCGUGCCGGGAUUUAGUUGCGAGCCACAUAAUUGGCUCGUGCGUAUGACAUGUAGGCCACGGCCAUUAACUUGGCCAAACCGGCGACUUAACGGGGUUUUUUGUUACAAAUUAGUCUCCAUGUCGUGGGUAUCAGUUAAAAACCUCUGAGUUCGUGGAUUCUGUAAAAAGAGCCGCUACGUAUGUGUCCGCCUAGGGCAUCCCCCCGCCACCGCCACUCAGGCGACGGCAUCCACCUCCCGCCGCCGGCUACUCCAGCCCCGGUGGCCACCCCGCUCCCCCUCCCCGCCUCCUCCCCCGACACCCCUCCUCCCCUGUCGCCUCCGGUCGACCGGAUGGACUCCGCCGGCCCCUCGCGCCCGUUGACCAAGGAGCUGCGGUGGAGGGAGUCUUCCCCCACCGGCAGCGUGGAUUCUGCGCGUUCCUACUGUGAUGCGCUCAGGGAGGGUGGCCUUGCGCCGAUUCUCGUGGUGGUGGAGGGGCAUGAAUCCUUGUGCACGCAACCUGCUCGACGCUUGGCCUCUGUGGUGGUUCCGGCCGCUGCCGGCACGGGUGGACAGCUUGACUCUGACGGCGGGGGCUGGAAGCUCCAGGGUCGUCGCCCGGAUCAGCGGAAGUGCCGCCGCCAAACCCCCCCUCUUCUGGCGACGGUCAUCCACGAGGAGCUGCUCGGAGACCUUGCUGGCCGCUGCUUCAACUGCUUGGCCGGCGACCACGUUGCGACCCUCUGCCAGAACCAGACGAGGUGCCUUUGCUGUGGGGGCAAGGGGCAUGUGGCGAGGCUGUGCCGCGCUAGGCGAAGCCCCUCCGGUGGCGGCUCCUCGAGCGCGGGUGGGCAUGGCGUGGCGGCUCCGGCGCCGCGUGGCCCCGCCCCUUGCGCGGCUCCCACGGCCCGUCCAACAGCGCCCUGCGCCCGGGCGGCUCUGGCUCCUGCAGCUGCAGGGGCAAAGGUGGCUGUGCCGGCGGCUGGGGCGAGAAAGGCGCCGGCUUCGGCGGCGGCUGGGUCGGGUCUGGCCAUCUUGGCUCGACUCGGGCCACGCGGACAGGUGUCCAACCUAGGGAGGGAUGUGGCCUCUGUGCCGGCUCCGGGUGUUGCCCCCCCUGCCCCGCUCCCCCCCCCCCUCCCACUUGGGUGUCAGCUCCGGCACCGAUCGCGGAGGUGGAGGCGCUGCCGGUGGGCGCGGCUUCUCUGCGACCUCGUGGGGAGCUGUGCAUCAUCCCGCGGAGCGAGGAAAUCGAAUAGGAGGAGUUGGCUCUCAGAUGGAGUGCGGUGGUUGAUGUCAUGGGGACUCGCCACCGCAUCACUCUCUCUGCGGUCACCACGGUGAUCGAGGCGAGGCUGCCGGCGGUGGCUGGGAGCUUCUCGGCGCACCGGUUUUGGCUCGCUGAUUUCCUUGUGGUGUUCAACUCUAGGGAGGCUCGUGAUGCCGUCUUGGCCGUCGGGUCUAUUGAUGGGCGCGGGUUUUCGCUAAGAUUCUCCCCUUGGAACUGCUUCCGCCAGGCAGUGGGGCGCACGGCCUUUUACCGGGCGCACCUUGAGAUGGUGAGGUGGCACGCGUGGAAGCGCAACACGGCUGCGGCGCUGUUGGGACCGGCUUGCUCGAUUGAGAGGCUAGGUCUUGACACAGAGAGCCGCGAGGAGCUUGGGCGUUUCACGGUUUACGCCUGGACGUCGGAUCCCAACCUGGUUCCACGCGAGAAGCUGCUGCAGAUCCCUGAAGCACCAACUCUCGAGGACGGCGAUGAGAUGGUUCCUCCUGAGAUGUUGUUUCCUUCCGAUGUCAACCUGCUUGAGUACAAUGUGCUCAUCCACCUCUUGCGAGUGGAGGACUCCUCGGCCUCGACUGACCGUUCAUCAUCGGAUGAUUGGCCAUCGAACGAUGGCGACAGUGGGCAUGACGGGGACCCAGAUCGUGGCUACGGCGGCCGGCGGCCGGCAAGUGGUGUUCGACAAAACUACUUUAGCUACUCCCGAGGUCGCGUGGAUGACGAUAACUUUGGGCUGCACCCUCGUGGAUUCCGACGCCAUUAGGCCGGCUCUCGUGCGAGACCGGAGGGGCCACGGCUGUCUGCCGAUGUGCCUGAGUUUAGGCCGACGAGCUCCCGCUUGGGGUUCGUGAACCCUACCCUGCGGUGGCCAGCCCGGGUGCCUUCGGUGGUCGUGGAGUGGGAUCCGAUGCGGUUGGAGGCCGAGUCGCCUUGCCCUGGUUCGCCGGAGGUGGCUCGAUCCGCGUUGGGGCUGGUUGUGGUGGAUCCUCCCCCGUCUCCCCCCUCCUCCGACAGGGUGAUGGUUUCGAUGGGUGGUGGCUCCCCUACGGGCGACAUCCCCCUUUCUCCGGUGGUGUCGAGCUUGGCGAGUGGGUUUGCGGUGGCGGACUCCCCUCCGCUUUCCCCGGGGCUAGAGAUGGAUGACUACUUCCCUGUCUCCCUCUCGCCCGUGCUGCUUGGGGUGGAUUCGGAGGUGGUGCCGGAGUACGCGGCUGACAAGGUGCGGCCGAGUGCCUCCCCUUCUUCUUCUGAUCCUUUGGCGGAAGCGGCUAGGGAGGUGGCGCCCUUUCGGGAGCGUGUACGCCGGGCGGUCUCCCCGGUGCUGUCCCGCCCCUCGAGGCGGAGGAGCGAGAGGGCGGUGGCACUGCCGGGCUCAGUCCGGCGCAGCAGGCGGCUGGCAGGGCGAGGGGCCUCCCCCGGAAGUGCUAGCAAGCAGCAGCGUGUGAUCAUCCACCAGUUGGGCAUCGCGAGAGAGGGGGAGAGGAUUGGGGAUGAAGCGCUCCAGACCUACAUUGAGCUCUUCAACAAGCCUCUCUCCACCGAGCACAUCUCGGCGUUGUUGUCCCUGUUCGGCUGGGAGAGUGUGGCUUCGCCCCUGGAGGGGGGUGAGCGGGAUGAGGUGCUGGUUUAGCCAACUCCUCCCCUGGUUCGUGGGUCUUGUGGGUGGUCUUCUCAUGGCUGACACAAACAUUAGUGUUUUAGUGUGGAACGUGCGUCGCUUAAACUCUCGAGCCAAACGCACUGCGGUUUGUCAGGUUGUGGUUUCUUCCGGAGCAUGUAUUGUGGGAUUGCAAGAGUCUAAAUUAAACUCGGUUUCGCGGUACGUGGUUGAGGAGUGCCUCGGGCCUGAUUUUGACUCUUUUUUCUUCUUUCCGACGGGCGGCACUCGUAGUGGCGUGAUCCUACCGUGGAAGGGGGCUAUGGUACAACUAGCCAACCCCCACAUUGCCGAGUUUUCGGUAUCAGCUAGCGUUUCUUCGGGUGCCAGUCGGACGUGGUGGAUCACCGUGGUCUACGGUCCCCGAGAGGACAGGGACAAAUUGCGGUUUCUCUAGGAGAUGCACGACGUCCAGGAUCUCAUUGCUGGACCGUGGUUCAUUGCGUGUGAUUUUAAUCUCAUCGUGGAUCCGUCGGAUAAGAGCAACGAGUUGGUUAAUAGGAGGCUCAUGGGGAAAUUCCGGAAAGUGUUGCGGGAGCUCGAGCUCAAAGAGCUCUACCUUAAUGGGAGGCGCUACACGUGGUCGAAUGAGAGGGAGCGGGCCAUGCUCAAGAAGCUCGACCGGGCCUUCUCCACAGUGGACUGGGAAACGGCCUUUCCCAAUGCCUUCCUGUCGGCCCUGAGCACGGCGACCUCGGACCACUGUCCCUACUUGUGGUUCUUGAGGCCCAACUCCUUAAGGGGAGUCAUUUCCACUUUGAGAGUUUUUGGCUCAAGGUGGACGGUUUUUUGGACGUCGUCAAGUCGGCGUGGGAUGUGGCCAACUCCCCUCUAAACCCGUUCAAACGGCUUGAUUUCAAGCUUAGACGCACGGCGAAGAGGCUUAGGAGCUGGAGCGAUCGCCUUAUUGGCAACGUUAAGCUCCAAAUUCUUGUGGCCACGGAGAUCAUUCUUCGCUUCGAUGUGGCUAUGGACUCUCGUGGUCUGUCGUUGGAGGAGAGGGGUCUUCGCAGAACCCUCAAGCGGAAGUUGCUUGGCUUGGCCUCUUUGGAGCGUUCCAUUGCCAGACAACGUUCGCGAGCUCUUUGGCUCCGUGAGGGCGACGCUUGCACGAAAUUCUUUCAUCUGCACGCGAGCCAUAGGAGGAGGAAGAAUUUCAUCUCUCACCUCCUAGUGGAUGGGGUCCUCCUGACGGAUCAUGAUGAGAAGGCAGUGGUUGUGGAUGAUUUUUUCUCUGGCUUAUUGGGUUCGGCCCAAGACCGGGAUUUUUCCCUCGAUCUCGAUUUUUUUCUGGAUAUCCCGAGCUGCGAUCUCGCGGAGCUUGAAAGGGAUUUUUCUGGUGAGGAGAUCUGGGAGGUGGUUAAGGCCCAAGAGCUUGAAAAAGCCCCUGGGCCGGAUGGAUUCACUGGUCGUUUCUUCGUGUCAUGCUGGGAGAUCAUUAAGCGUGACGUGGUGGAGGCUUUCGCGUCCUUGGCUCGGCUGGAUGCGAGGGAACUGGGGGCCAACAACUCGGCCCUCAUCACCUUGCUUCCCAAGCAGCAGGAUGCGCGGGAGGUGCGGGAUUUCAGGCCGGUUAGCUUGAUCCAUAGUGUGGCCAACCUUUUCGCGAAGGUUUUGGCUACGAGGCUGGCGCCAGCCCUCCCUCGGCUGGUGGGGGGCCGCAUCAGAGCGCCUUUGUGAUGGGCCGCUGCCUGCAUGACAACUUCAUGUUGGUUCAAGGCACGGCGAGAAAAUUUCAUUAGGCCAAAAUUGAUGCGGUUCUCCUUAAGCUCGACAUCACCAAGGCCUUUGACACUGUGGAUUGGGCCUUCCUAGUGGAGACCUUGGUUCGUCGUGGCUUUGGACACCGUUUCCGGGCGUGGAUUUGUGGCCUGCUCUCUAUGGCCUCGACGCGGGUUUUGCUCAACGGUGUCCCUGGUGAGACCAUUGAGCACAGGAGGGGUCUUAGGCAGGGUGACCCCUUGUCGCCGAUGCUCUUUAUCCUGGUUAUGGACGUUCUACACUGUCUGCUUGAGAAAGCAGCGGAGUGCGGGCUCUUGACCCCCUUGGCGGCGAGGGGUUUCUCCCAUCGCACGUCCAUCUUCGCGGACGACAUGGUCACGUUCCUUCGACCUUCGUGGAAGGACAUUGUGGGCUGCUCGAGGUUAAUCUCCGACUUUGGCGUUGCCUCGGGCCUUUGCACCAACUUCACCAAGAGCUCCACCCAUCUCAUUCGGUGCUCCGACGAGCAGCGUGAAAUGGUUGGAGAUCUUCUUCAGUGUGCGACUCGGGACUUCCCCUACACCUACUUGGGGCUUCCUCUUGGGAUCCGCAAGCAUACAGCCAACCAACUUCGGCUAGUGGUGGACAAGGUGGAGGGCCGCCUGGCUUCGUGGAAGGCGCCCCUUCUCUCGAAGGGUGGCCAGCUGGUGCUCAUCAAGUCCACGCUCUCAGCUAUUCCGGUCUACCCCAUGAUGUCCCUUGAUUUGCCGGCCAAGAUUGUCAAGGGUGUGGAUAAAAUCUGCCGUGGAUUCCUUUGGAGGGGGCAGAAAGAGGCUCAUGGGGGGCAUUGCCUCGUGGCUUGGAGGUCGGUUUGCUCUCCCAAACCCUACGGUGGCCUCGGCAUCCCUAACCCCCACUUGCUCAACCUAGCCUUGAGGGUCCGCUGGAGGUGGCUGGAGCGCGUGGAUGUCUCUAAACCUUGGAAGGGGCUUUCCUUGAGCAUCCCUAAAGAGGUGGAUGAGAUCUUUGAGGCGGCCACCUCUUCUAGGGUGGGGGAUGGGCGUCGCACGCUCUUCUGGAUCGACCAUUGGCUGCGUGGCGUUCGUCUUCGCGAUGCUUUCCCGGCGCUUGCGGGGCAUGUGCGUGUGGGCUCUUUGCGUUGCCGUACUGUCGGAGAGGCGAUGAAUGGCCUAUGGCUUGACGACGUGGGCCCCGACCUGACUGCGGUGGCCAUUGCCGAGUUCCUAACUCUUUAGGAGUAGCUCCGGGGCGUCCGCUUGGAGGCCGGGGUUGAUGAUGUUUUGGUGUGGAAUUGCGCCAAGGAUGGGGUCUAUUAGGCCAAAAAUGCCUAUGCGAACCUCUUCGCUGGUCAGCGGCGUGAUCCGAUGGCGUCUGUGGUGUGGGACUUCAGGGCUCCUGAGCGUUGCCGGUUCUUCGCUUGGCUGGCGGCCCGGGGCAGGUGCUGGACUGCGGACCGGCUUCGCAGGCGUGGUCUCCCACACCCGCCUAGGUGCCCCCUUUGCGAUCAAGGGGAUGAGACCAUCUCUCACCUACUGGUGGGCUACGUCUUUUCUCGUCAGGUGUAGCAGCAGCUGCUGACCUGCUAGGGCCACGGGGAUUGGUGCCCCGAGCCGGGGGCUGACUUGCAGGAGUGGUGGACCUCUCGGCCCCUUUCGAGGCGUGGGCGAAAGGACUUUCUGACGGCUGUCACUCUGGUCUUUUGGAUCAUCUGGCGCCAUUGUAAUCACAUCGUCUUCAACGGGGUGUCUUCUUCAGUCCAUUGGGUACUAGCUACUGUCCGGGAGGAAUUGGAUCGGUGGUGCUCUGCCGGCCUCUUUAGGAAUAGGGGUAUUGGUUCGGCCUUCGCGGCGAGUAGGUUGAUGGAUAGGCUGUAAUUUCUCCUUCUUCUUUGCCCGAUGGGCGUUGUAGCCGUUUUCGAUGUUGUACUAGCCUUCUGACUCUUCUCCUUUAAUUGAUGAUGCACCCGUUGGGUUGCAUUCUUGAAAAAAUAUGUGUCUUUGUGCAAUUACUUUUAAAAAAAAGUGUGUAUUCAUGCAUUGCGCAUUUGUAAAACAUCUCUCUCUGUUAGAUUUGCGUUGCAUGUAAAUUAAUUGAGUCGGAGUUCAAUCAAUCCCUAAAUAAUUUCGGUUCGUCAUGCAUGCCAUGCUUUGGUGGAUCUGUACAUGGAUGCAGCGUACCUACUGCUCGAUAUAUUAUACUCCGUAUUUUAAUUAUAUGCUGCAAGAAACAUCCAAAUAAGGGAACAAAUUAGUGGGAACGCAUGACAAAAAUAGUCCGACUAAUCUCGAUCUGGCAUAAUGCGUGUAGCUUGAUAUGGAAUCUUAGGUUUGAUUAAUUACCAAAUAAUGCUGAGAAGUCGAUCGGACACCAACCAAAUCAGAAGAAAAAAGAUUUGUCAAACGCCGCGAGUGUUCCGAUCGACGUGGUCUAUCUAGCUGCCCAGAUCAGGCUCAGACGCUUGCCCGUCAGUUCUUCGGCAUUACUGGACAAGUUCAACGAUCUUAAAGUUUUUCCUUACUUUUUUGAAAACUUCAGGAUCUAUUUUUUUUUUUUACGAAACAGCCGCGGUGGACUAUUUAUUGCCAAUAGGGGUGAGGGUUGAGAAAAUCAACCCAGAGUUUACACAAAAUACGAAAAAUAAAGGAACGAGAAAGGGAGAGAAGAGAUUAGAUUACAAAACAAAUGAAAUCAAGGAACAUCAUCGUCUCCAUCUAAAAUUAACAGCACAUCAGCAGAGGUAUAUCCAUCGAGUCGUCCUGCUGUCAAGCUCAAGCAAUCCAGCAGCAGUUUAUUUUGGUUCUUGUAGUUGCUAAACUUACAUGUAUAGUUGGAUAUAUAUAUAACCUGGUAGAUUUUUGGGGUCAUCCCAAUUAAUUCCAAAGCUUCGUGGAUUAUAUGCUGGCUAGUUAAUCACUCAUUUUGGCAUUGAUGAUCAACAAGCACCAACUCCAUACAUAGCUGAAAAAAAAAGAGGAACAUCAAUUAAUGAGAAAAACCUCACGGUGUCCCCAAAGUCCAAACCAAUACUGUAAGACAGGGACAGAAGUACAGAACGGCAAAGCACGGUUAGCAAUCUCAAACAUUUCUUAACAAAAAUACCAGGAUUUUUUUCGGGCACAGGUCGCUAGCUGGAGGACCGGGUACGUCACGGAGCAUCUGUGUCUGUUGUUUCUGAAGCACACGUUUUACUUACGUAACUGAGCGCAGUAGAAUUUUGUUUCUUCAUCGUUUUUUCUUUGUUUGGUUUUGUGUGUGCGCGCAGGACCAAAGUGUGUGCUGUCUUAGGAUGACGUGAAGGGAUUGUUUUAUUGAGCUGUCUGGACUCGAAAUCGGGCCGAGCUGAGUGUGAUUGGGCAGAUAUGUGUCGAUUCAUUCUGAUGGGUCGAUUUGUGGAUCAGAGUAAAAGCGCCUGCUCCUAAGAUGAGAAAUAAUAUUACCGUUUCAAUUUUUUUUUGAAACCAUUACCCUUUUAAAAUGAACAUGCGUACUCAUACCUAACCAACCGGUGAGCUAGAAAUGACAAUGAAAUCGCGCGCGGUCAUAUCUUCUUUGCAACCAAUUUUUUUUUCUUUCGACUAAAUAUCACUAAACUAUAUAUUUACGUAUCUUUUUUUAGGAACCUUUUAUUUAUUCCAUGGCGAUAUCUACACGACAUCACCUCUGUAUGUCGUCAUCUAUAAUAUGAUGUCUCCUGUGAUAGAAUCCACUUGUUGUGUUUUUUCAUUUGUCUUCAUAGCACACAACGUCGACGGUUUAAAUACACAUCCAUAUCCUACACAUGUCUUCGCAAAAAACAUCACGCAUCCGAUCAUUGCCAGUUGUGUUUUUAUUUGAAUUCAACUUACGUUACGUUUCAAUCUUACGAUGGCUAUACACAUCUUGCGUUCGUGGAAAAAGCUAGUGAGGCAUGAAUGGUUAAGAAAAACAUCUUAUCAGAAAGCAACCGAAGCAAUUGAAUUGAAUUACUAUAGAUUCGACCAUCAUGUAUUCACUAAUGAAAAAAAAUAAAUGGUCAUUUUACAAGAAUCCCAAUCUCAGAUGGUUCACUAUAAAUCGUCUAUGCAUGCUAUGCUAACCAGGGACGGUUUUUGCAAAAUACACGUUCAUACAACCACUUAAUUUGUGACAAAGAAAAUUCAUCAGAUACAGUCUUGAGAGAACAAUAUACUAGAGAGAUAGGCUCUUGUCUUCCUGACAAAAUUACAAUUAUAUCCUUAUAUAUUCAAUAGAGAUCAGAGACUAAUAUUUAACAUACCAGUUGUCCGUCCUUGUACUGGAUGGAUCAUGCACCGGCACCCCUUACAGCUUUGCUAUUUCUUCGGCAACUGGAAAAUAACGACUAUUCCUAAGUCACCGUUAAAAAUCGUCAUGAGAGGAUUUGAUUGGACGGCUAUCAACGACGAUGGAGAAAUAACUAUUUUCAAGUCGAACGAGCUAUAGACAAUCCAAACUUAUUACUCCAAACAAACAAUAAUUAAUUAAUCAAACGGGCAUAUUGCAGUCGAUUGGUCAUCUAGUGCUCCGCUUCCUCUAUGAUCUCGGUGGUGGUUUUCUUGAUGAGCUCCCACGCGCUUCGCACGUGUCGCUCCUCUUGCAAUGAUGAGCCCACAGCGAACCGGAGCACGAACCUGCCACCCACCACUGUGUGUGCGAGAUACGCCUUGCCGGUCUUGUUGAGCCUCUCCAUGAGCUCGCGGGUCAACUCGUCGGCGUAUUCCUCGGUCAUGGCACCAUUCGCCUUGAUCCUGAAGCACACCAGAGCAAAGUUCCUCGGCACGACCACCUCGAACCUGUCAUCGGCGCAAACAAAGUCCUCGAACAUCUUGGCCAUGGCAACGUCGCUGCGUAUGUGCUCCUGGAGCUUAGCGGUGCCAUAGGUGCGCAUGACCAUCCAGAGCUUGAGCCCACGGAAGCGCCGCCCGACGCCGACCUGCAUGUCCUUGAGGUCAGUGACCUCGCCGGAGUCGGUGACGUCGUUCUUCAGGUACUCAGGGUUAGUCUCCAACGAGUCGCUCAGGCG